GUUUUAAGGGAUACGGCAAUUAACGGGUUAAUCCGAAGCAUCAAGACUUUGAAAUCACAUACACAGAACAAUAUUCAUUAAGAAAGUGAAAUUAAAUGAUUAAUAAACUAUUUAUUCGAACCCUUGCUAUUUUCUAUUCUAAUAAAAGUCUUGGCUGUGGAACAUCUGUAAUAGAGUUGGCUAGCUGGAUGCAAAUAAAGUCAUGCCUUUUAUUUUUUCCCCUGUUUGCUAUUUCACAUUCCUGUCACUGAAGCGUUGUGGCCAAAGACACAGAAGGUAACUGAAACAAUAUGGUUUAAGUCAAGGUGAUCAUAAGGGGUCCAAGCACAAUGGUUUGUGUAGAUGAUGCAGUUAAACAAUGGACGUGUCUCUUUUCAAGUAAAUUAUUAUACGCACAACAUGAAAA
ensembl:lncRNA